AUGGUGGGCUCUCUAAAGUCAGACUACAAAUGGCAGCUUACUACAGCUCUGGUAUCAUCUCCUCCCAGGCUGCAGACCAGAAUGAAAAGGCAAGAAUCUUUUCCAGAAAUCCUGUUUCAUUCUGAUUGGACAGGCCUCCUGUUACUCCUAAACCAAUCACUAUGGUGUUUUGAUCAACCAUAUUUGGAUGGAGCUUCAUCUCGACCCCUUAAGAGAGGGAACAGUAGAUGUCCAGACAAAAGUGGGGGCUGUUGUCAGAAGGGGGAAUUUAUACCUGGGGAGUGUCAAUGCCACUCACCAACUGUGUGACCCUAGGAGUAUAAUUAUUAACCCUAUGAGUAGAGUUAACAAUGUCUACUAAAAAUGGAUUAAAAAUUGCUUGUAGACUACAUAUACCUAUUCUUGUGCUUUGUUAACUAUACAGUAUUAUACAAUCUUGUGUUAUUAUUUUUAGAAGUUUGUCUAUAAUCUACACCUGGAAGUGAAAUUGAUGACUUACACAUAGGCUAUGUACAUCUUCAACCAUACCAGGUAAUGCCAAGUUGUUUUCCACCAUUUGCAGUGGGUAAGAAUCCCUGUUGUCUUACAUUAAACACUAAGUAUUACAUUUUUUGGUUACUUUUAAUACAGUGGAUAUGAAGUGGUAUCUUAUUGUUAAAAUUAGCGGUUUCCUAUUAAUUAACAAAGAACAUCUUUUCUCAUAUAUGUUUUUUAACUAUGUCAUAUUUGUUGGCUAUAUUCAGAGAAUGUACUUGUUCAUAUAUUUUGCCCAUUUAAAGUAUUGUGCUGUUUGUUUCCUUUCUCAACUAUUCAUAAGAUUCCUUGUGUUUUUAGGAUACUAAUACUUUGCUGAUUAACUUAUUGUAGACACUUAUCCCAAGUUUAUGGCUUGCCUUUUCACUUUUUGAUGGUGUCAUUUGCUGAAUAUAAACUCAUAAUCUUAACAGUCUAAUUUACCAAUCAAUCUCAUCCUAUAAGGUUUGUAAUUUUUGUGCUACAUGUAAGAAAACUUUCUGCUCCCUAACCUGUAAGGUCAUAAAGAUACUCUCUUCUAAAAGUUUUAGUGUUCUACCUUUCAUAUUUGAAUUCUUAAUCCACUGGGAAUUUAUUAUGUAUGUUGUAAGAUAGGCAUUCAAUUUCAAAUUUUCCACAUGGACAACCAACUGUCCCAGCACCAUUUAUUCAAUGACUAUUUUUCUCUAUGGCUGUGAAGUGCCACCUCUAUCAUACAUCAAAUAUCCUUGUAGAUAUGUGUCUGUUUUAGGUUACCUGUCCUACUCCUUUGGCCUAUCUGUACAUCCCUGUGUCAAUAAAGGUAUUUAGAAAAAAAACA
rnacentral:lncRNA from 12 species